rnacentral:misc_RNA from 1 species
CAAGUUGAAUUCAACAUUGGAGGCCGCAAGGUGCAGACCGAGCGCCAGGAGGAAAAUAUGUCGAUUCUACGCGAGUGUCUGGUGAAUUUGUCAUACUCUAAGUCGCACGCCGAGUCGAAAAUUGUGAUGUAAACCCGCGACGAAUAUGAGUGUCUCUCAGGAGAUUGCUGCCACUGUCGUGUGCAGGGAAGUCUUCGAUGAAUCUUCACAUCCGUCUCACGAAGAGGUUGUCGACUAUGCGACACGGCUGGGAAUCGACCCGGAGGCUGAGCCGCACCUCUUGGGCCUUGCCAAGGAUGGCCUCAUGGCUGCUCUGCCCAAGGGAUGGUCCCCUUGCUUCCACGAGGCGACUGGAGCCUGGUACUACUACCAGGCUUCUACGGGCACCACCACCUGGGAACAUCCUCUCGACUCUGUCUACAAAGAGCUGGUAGAGAACGCGAGGAAAGGAAACCGGCAACCGAGCAUUGAUGAAGAUUCGAAAGCAACAACAAAGGAUCUCGAGUCCCAGGAGGAUGUGACAUCUCCUAAAGAGAUUGCGAAAACUUUGUCUCGUCCAAAGCUUCCGGCGAAGCUUGUACCACUGAGAAAGUCGAAAGCCGAGAUAUUGGGCGCUCGAAGAAAUGAGUUCAAGGUCGAAAAAACCCAGCCGCGGAAGGAAAACGACACCGUGAAACUCGACAACUCGUUCAGCUCGUCGAACGACAGAGCCAGCAGGGAUUACACGAACCUGCGGUUCCAGGAUCCCAAUUUUUACGAGAGCCCGAAGCUGCUCGAGGUGCUAAAAGCUUCGGAAGAGUCGGAGGAGUCGAAGGUUCGAGGCAAGGAAUUGGACUUGCAGGAAGUCCUCAAGAGGUCCGAAUCGCUGAGUCCGAGAUACGAGCAGGAGUGGGAACAAUUGUCGAGCAAGUUUGGCUCGGAGGAAAACAUCAUUGACAUUGAUAAGCUGAGUAUAAACUCGCUGAACAAGUCGGAUGCGGUCGUCGAGAAAUCCGAGGAGGAAAAACAACAGGCGAGGCAAUCGAGCCGUAUCAAAGAGUUGACUCUUAGCGGCGGUGGUUCCAUGUUCUUGAAGAGUAACAGGAGCAGAGAUGCGAACGCCUGCGGCAGCCUCGACGAAGAUGUGCAGAACGAUUUUUACGGCGUUCUACGACUUGAGGAUAAAAAUACAUCGUCCGUUGGCGACAGGCCGAAAUCAAUUCUUCGCGAGAAGACUUCUGAAGAUGACGACAAGCCCGUAGAAGAAGAGCGUAAGAGCGUCCGAUUCGACUUGGAGAAAGAAGUAGACGUGAAAUUCACGUAUUCGGGAUCAGAGGAGGAGUGGGACACGGAAUCGGACGAGCCCAAUAUGCGAAUAUCGGCGACUGUGACGAUGAAGAAUCUCAUGAGCUUCGAGGGUGAGGAUUUGGAAUUAGAAAAAUCGGCGCCAACCGAUGUUGGCUCGUGUAUGCAAGGCGAGUCAGUCGGCGAUAAGCUCCCGGAUUUGGAAGAACCGAAGAAGGAUAAUUUGGGUGAAAAGUCUAAGAUGAUAUCAAAGCAGCCGAAGAUCGUGGGAAAGAGAUUUCUGGUUGAGAAUGUAACGGAAAACGAGCACUUCAACCAAACGUCGAAAGACAAGUCGUGCAGCGAUGCGACCGACGGCGGUGGCGACUACGUGCCAAGCAAGUUCGAGAACGUGAGGAAUAUCGACCUGCUCUCGAAGAGCGAAAAUGAGAGCACGACGACCCUGAAGAGCACCGAGUCACGGUCCAGCAUCCUCGACGAGAUACGCAGGAGCAAGGAGAUGAUGCUUGAGUCGAUGAAAAGGAGCGAUAUGCGGGCGAAGAACGAGCUCCAGAAGGAGAAGGACGACGCCUAUCACCUGAUGAAGAUCAAGCUCGACCUUGAGUCGGCGAGGAACCAGCGAGAGAAGGCGAGGGCCAGGAGCCAGAUGACGAAGAAUUUUCAAGCGGUGAAAUCGGCGGUAAGGAGAGAGCGUGAGAAGGAGAUACAGGACCUGAAAGACGACUUCCAAAUCAGGUACGAGGACACGAAGACUGAGUACGAGGCGAUGUUCCUCGAGGAGAAAGGCUACCUCGAGGAGAACAUUAAGGAGAGACUCGCCGAGCUCAGGGAGGAUAUGAAGCAGCGGGAACAGCUGGAGGUCCAGAACCUCGUCGCCGAGAUGGACAAGACUCGAGUUGAGGAGCUGAACAACCUUCGUAGCGAGCUUGAGACCUGCUACGAAAAGGAGAAGCAGGAGAUUCUGAAGAACUUGAGGGUUGAACUGGAGGAGAAGAAGCUGGAAUUGCUCGAGCACAGAAAUCGUGAGAUCGAGAAGCUGAAGAGUGAUUUUCAGAAGUCUUUGGAGGAGGAAAAGGCGUUGAAGCUCGUUGAACUCGAUCUUGGAAAGCAGCACGCUGAGAAGGUCAAGGCCUUGAAGACCAAGCUGGAAAAGGAAUUCGAAGACACUGUGAUGGAGCUUCGUUUGCAGCAGAGGGAGAAGAUAUCCAAAGUAACCGAAGAUCACGAGGUCAGCCUCGCCGAAAUCUUACGGGAUUUCAGAACGGAAGAAGAUCUUGCGCGGAAGGAGUACAAGCAACGUUUGGAAGAAGUACGAGCUUCGUUUUCUCGAGACAUCGAGAAAGAGAUGAAGAAGCAAAGCGAACGUUUAGUUCGUCCUGACUCGAUGGAUUAUGAGAAAAUUCGUUGCGAGAAACGGCUGGUUGAGGACAAGUAUAAAACGCUCAAAGAAAAGUACCUGAAAUUAAAAAAUGACGUACGACUAGCCGUGGAGUCAAGAAGCAGGAGGAAAGAGGCGAAUGCCACUGCGUCGGAAACCGAAAGAUCGACUUCCGCGAGGACUAAAACGGAACGCACCGAGUCUGUUGAUCAAAAAGCGCCGUUAAAAAAGACGCAAUCCAUAACAACGCUCUCGGAAAAUGUAAGUCACAAUGAUAAUGGCACCGAGGAAAGUGACGGCCAGAAAAUAGCGGGAUUUUCAAAAACACCCAGUGCCCUGAAGCUCGCUCAGAGCAAAUUAGAAUCGGACGACACGACAACGGCGAGCGAACAAAAUUCAAAUCUAUUAAAGAAGAAAAAGUUAUUUACAAAGAAGGCGGCUAGUACAUCGAAGUUGAACAACAACGUCGAGAAUCCCGUCGAAAACAUCAGGAAACAGCUCGAGAAGUUGGAAGACCUGGGGGACCAAUUGCCAAGCAACGAGAAUGCUUACACUUUGAGAUAUCCGUUCCAAGACCAAGCCGCAAGUCUUAUUUCAGCGCCGGCGAACGCUUCAUCGGACAUAGAAUUCUUCAGGCAUCGAAUCCACGUCGAGAGAGAUUCCGUGAGGCGAGCCAGAGAGGCACUUCACCAGCAGAGAAAUCUAUUCCAGGGAAGACAGAGGGCUUGGAAGCAACGAAGCGUCAGGGCGACACUGGAGCAGCUGGUACAGUUGGGAGUCUCACCUGGCCUGCCUCUUCAACAGGAGGAACGCGAGUUAUCGGACAUGGAGGUUAGCUUGCACCGAACGCGGAGUCUCCUGGGGGAAAAGGUGAUUCACUUGCGCCAUCUAGAGCGAUCCCUCGAGAGAGUCGCCAACGCGAAGAGGAACAAGAACGAGCAAACGGCAAAGAGCGACGAGUUAACGCUGAGUGACAUCUCGAGUGCGAGUAGCGGAUUCAGUUCGACCGAUUUGGAAACCGACACUUUUAUCGGAAAGUCGGAGCACUAUCAAGAAUCGACGGAGAUCAUAGCCAGCCUCGAGAAUCUCAAUUCUGAGAUUCGUGAGAUAUGGGGUGUGCUCAACAAAAGACAGGACAACAGUGUGCCACCUCCACCAACACUGAUGUACUCGGAUCUGAGGUGGCUACCUUAUCAGCAGCUCACCACUCAGGCCAACAAUGUCCCAGGUAAUUGUUUAGCCGAUUUAUUAUUUUGAUAGGAUCAUUCGUCUGUUUUAUAUGGAAUUUAAAAAUUUGUCCGAUAUGUGUUUCUGAUUUAAAGAGAUAUCUAUUAUAGAUUUUCAACAACUCCGAAGCGUUUUGAAACGAACCAUCGAUACCCGAGCUUAUGUUUUUAUAAUUCCAGUAUCUUUUAUUUAUAUAUUUCUGAAAAGAUCUUCGUAGCUUAUAAAUAUGGUAA